rnacentral:rRNA from 1 species
UGGGGAAUAUUGGACAAUGGGCGAAAGCCUGAUCCAGCGACGUCACGUGAAUGAUGAAGACCUUAGGGUUGUAAAGUUCUUUUAGUGGAGAAGAUAAUGACGGUAUCCACAGAAAAAGUCCCGGCUAACUUCGUGCCAGCAGCCGCGGUAAUACGAAGGGGGCAAGCGUUACUCGGAAUUAUUGGGCGUAAAGCGUGCGUAGGCGGUUUUGUACGUUGAAAGUGAAAGCCUUUGGCUCAACCAAAGAAUUGCUUACAAAACGGCAAGACUAGAGUAUUAGAGAGGAUAGAGGAAUUUCUGAUGUAGGGGUGAAAUCCGUAGAUAUCAGAAGGAAUAUCGAAGGCGAAGGCAUCUAUCUGGCUAAAUACUGACGCUGUUGCACGAAAGCGUGGGGAGCAAACAGG